rnacentral:rRNA from 1 species
AACGAACGCUGGCGGCAGGCUUAACACAUGCAAGUCGAACGCACCUUUCGGGGUGAGUGGCAGACGGGUGAGUAACGCGUGGGAAUCUACCCUUCUCUACGGGAUAGCUCCGGGAAACUGGAAUUAAUACCGUAUACGUCCUGAGGGAGAAAGAUUUAUCGGGGAAGGAUGAGCCCGCGUUGGAUUAGCUAGUUGGUGGGGUAAAGGCCUACCAAGGCGACGAUCCAUAGCUGGUCUAAGAGGAUGAUCAGCCACAUUGGGACUGAGACACGGCCCAAACUCCUACGGGAGGCAGCAGUGGGGAAUAUUGGACAAUGGGCUCAAGCCUGAUCCAGCCAUGCCGCGUGAGUGAUGAAGGCCCUAGGGUUGUAAAGCUCUUUCAGUGGGGACGAUAAUGACGGUACCCACAGAAGAAGCCCCGGCUAACUUCGUG